AUGGUUGUUCAUGCAUGCAUUCGCUUUGAUGGCCAUGAUAUCGUCCGCAAAUUGUGUGCCGUUUUCUUAAUGACAGCUAUGUCAGUUCACCACGAUCCAUACAGGAUUAUAUUUGAUCCAAAUGAUUAUAGACUUUGUCGCUUACAACGUGUUCGUUACAGCGAGAGCGAUGGAGCACUCCUUACUGAACUUGGAGUCCUCGUCGGCCAGCGGCGAACUCACGCCCAGCUCGCGAAACCCUUCCUCGCAGGUCUGUGGCGCGUCCGCAGCGGCGCUGAGGUUCGUCAGGGCGUCCUGCAACUUCCCCGACGAGAUGCCCCUCGCCGCCGCGUCGAGCUGGUCCACGGCGCUCGAGUACAGCUCGUCGCAGUCGGCGAGCGGCCCCUGGAUCCUCUUGUCGUCCCCUUUCGAUGCCUUGAUGGUCGCGAUGCGCCUGCCGGUGCUCACGGCCGCCGCUCGGAUGAUCUUCGUGGCGAUGACGGCCAGGCCGCGCUUGUCCGCGGUGGCGCUGCCCUUGCACGCCUGGAAGAACUUGACGCAGUAGUCGUAGCCGACGUCCUUGUUACUCGCGCUGACCGACUUGCAGGUGUCGUCCAGAGUGGAGACGGCGCUGGACGAGACGAGGAGGAAGAGGAGGAGGACGGCGAGCUGGGAGAGAGCUUGCCAAGGCCUCAUCAUCUUUGCGCUGGUUUUAGUGGUGGUUGUGUCAGACGUUUUGUCUUUUGA
rnacentral:rRNA from 1 species